CCUACGGGUGGCAGCAGUGAGGAAUAUUGGUCAAUGGCCGCGAGCCUGAACCAGCCAAGUCGCGUGAAGGAUGACUGCCCUACGGUUUGUAAACUUCUUUUAUAAAGGAAUAAAGUGAGGCACGUGUGCCUUUUUGUAUGUACUUUAUGAAUAAGCAUCGGCUAACUCCGUGCCAGCAGCCGCGGUAAUACGGAGGAUCCGAGCGUUAUCCGGAUUUAUUGGGUUUAAAGGGAGCGUAGAUGGUUUGUUAAGUCAGUUGUGAAAGUUUGCGGCUCAACCGUAAAAUUGCAAUUGAUACUGGAAGUCUUGAGUACAGUUGAGGUAGGCGGAAUGCGUGGUGUAGCGGUGAAAUGCUUAGAUAUCACGAAGAACUCCGAUUGCGAAGGCAGCUUACUAAACUGUCACUGACAUUGAUGCACGAAAGUGUGGGUAUCAAACAGGAUUAGAUACCCCUGUAGUC
rnacentral:rRNA from 1 species